CAACCUCUAUGCCUAAUAGUAAUUUUAUACAUGGAAACACUUGUCUUGUACUCUUCUUGUUGUCAAUAGACUGAAGCUGGACUCUCCAGAGGAAUGUUCAAGGGCAGCCAGGGCAGAACCAGCCCUAGAAGUGCCAGUCUCUACUCCCUGCACCCUGAGCCCUGGCAGAGACCCCAGCACCUUGUCUUCCUGCAGGAGCAGCCCUUGCUGUGAGCGCUGGUUUCAGGAGACAAGGGGCAUACAUGUGAAUAAAGACAUGGAGAUGAGGAUACAACUCAGUGGAGGUUUCAUUUCUCAUUUCAAGAUCAGCUAACCUGGGAAAUGCUGAGUGGCCUUAAACAUCACCCCUGUGCUGAGUGGAUAUUGCGACGUAAGGAGAUCCAUGUGCUGCAAUUCCCACCAAGGACUCCACCACUGACCAUAAGAAGAUGAGAGGAAAACAGCUCUCUCAAGCCAUUAAACAAGAAGCUUGGGAAAAAUGUUACAAACAGUUAGAUUUUCCGUGGGAUAGGAAUGUAAGACCUCAUUCAGAAUAAAAUGGGCAAUAAUUGGUCCUAUGUAUAAAAAAAAAAAAAAGUGAACUAUUAUUACACUUGCAAUGAACACCCAGAAACUAGAAAAGAUGAGCCAUUUCUCCUCAGACACACUUGUCAGUUUCUAUCUGAGUAAGAAGUAAAACUAUUUUCAGCCAAA